rnacentral:lncRNA from 1 species
UUGUUACUUAAAUGUAUCAUGACAAAGAGGAAAGAGAAGAAGAAGAAGAACGACGAGAAGAAAAGAAGAAAAAUUGCAAAUAGAAAGAAAAAAGGAAGACUAAAAUAAUAAGAUGAAAACGACGAAAAAAGAAAAAGUAGAACAACAAAGAUGAAGAAGAAAGCGAAAGAUGAGAUGAAGAACAAGGGCGCGCGGGGUUAGACUGUUUGAUCGUGAGUUGCACUAUUUGGCAAAAAAACUGCACUAUUUUGUAACCAUGUUGUAUUGCUUGGUUUGUAUAUUAUGCUAUUUCAAUAAUUAUUGUACUAUUUAGAUAGAUGCUACACCGUUUGUCGUCCGUGUUGUACAUAGUUAUUUCUCCAAUUUUCUACCCAAUUUUUUUUUCAAAUUUAUCCAAACAGUAAACAAUGAAAAUAAUAUCAAUUUUCACAAUUUUCGAAUAUUUUAUUGCACCAUCACGCUAACUGUUAACAUUUUUUUCUCUCGAAAAGCAAAUACAACUGGUUACUAGGGUGUCAACGAGCCGAACACAAGUGAGCUGGGGUCGGCUCAUGUUCAGCUCGUUUCAUAAAUGAGCCGAACACAAGCUAGCUCAUCGAGCUGAAAACAUCAGGUCAUGUUUGGCUCGUUUAUUAACGAGCCGAAUACGAACUGGCUUAUAAAUAAAAAUUUAAAAGAAUUAGAAAAUAGGAAGAAUAUAUAUAGGAAAUAAAUUUAUAAGAUCUUACCCAUUAUCCUUUGAUCUAAUGGUUAAAAUUUUAAAUAUAAAUAAACUAUUUUAUAAUUGAGUUGGGUUUUAUAUUUAGGUUGGGCUAAAAAUCAAAUAAUAAAACUUUAUAUUAUAUACAUAUAUAAUUAUUUAUUUAUAUAUAUAAAUAUAAAAUAUAUGUAUUCGAGCUAUUAUCGAGCCGAACACGAGCGAACUGACCCUAGUUUGUGGUCGGCUCGUUUAUUAAACAAGCUGAAGUGACUCAUUUACUAAAUGAGCGAUUCGAUUUCGAGCUCAUUGUAAGCCGAACACGAGCUGGCUCGCGAAUAGCGAGCUGGAUUGCCACCCCUAUUG